rnacentral:rRNA from 1 species
UACGAGGGGGGCAAAUGUUGUUCGGAAUCACUGGGCUUAAAGCGCGCGUAGGCGGAUGUUUAAGUGUCUUGUGAAAUCCCACGGCUCAACCGUGGAACUGCUGGGCAUACUGGAUAUCUCGAGGCACUCAGGGGCGAGCGGAACAAGUGGUGGAGCGGUGAAAUGCGUAGAUAUCACUUGGAACGCCAAUGGUGAAGACAGCUCGCUGGGGGUGUCCUGACGCUGAGGCGCGAAAGCCAGGGGAGCGAACGGG